UCCCACAGACAACGUGUGCUCUCUCUU
rnacentral:piRNA from 1 species